rnacentral:rRNA from 1 species
AACGAACGCUGGCGGCGCGCCUAAUACAUGCAAGUCGAGCGAGAAGACGUAGCAAUACGUUUGUAAAGCGGCGAACGGGUGAGGAAUACAUGGGUAACCUACCCUCGAGUGGGGAAUAACUAGCCGAAAGGUUAGCUAAUACCGCAUACGACUCCCGGUCUGCGGCUCGGGAGAGAAAGCGAUACCGUGGGUAUCGCGCUCCUGGAUGGGCUCAUGUCCUAUCAGCUUGUUGGUGAGGUAACGGCUCACCAAGGCUUCGACGGGUAGCUGGUCUGAGAGGACGAUCAGCCACACUGGCACUGCGACACGGGCCAGACUCCUACGGGAGGCAGCAGUAAGGAAUAUUGCGCAAUGGGCGACAGCCUGACGCAGCGACGCCGCGUGGGGGAUGAAGGUCUUCGGAUUGUAAACCCCUUUCGGCAGGGAAGAUGGAACGGGAAACCGUUCGGACGGUACCUGCAGAAGCAGCCACGGCUAACUUCGUGCCAGCCGCCGCGGUAA